rnacentral:rRNA from 1 species
CCUACGGGCGGCAGCAGUGGGGAAUAUUGCACAAUGGGGGAAACCCUGAUGCAGCAACGCCGCGUGAGUGAAGAAGUACCUCGGUACGUAAAGCCCUAUCAGCAGGGAAGAAAAUGACGGUACCUGACUAAGAAGCCCCGGCUAACUACGUGCCAGCAGCCGCGGUAAUACGUAGGGGGCAAGCGUUAUCCGGAUUUACUGGGUGUAAAGGGAGCGGAGACGGCGGGGCAAGUCAGAUGUGAAAUCCCGGGGCUCAACCCCGGGAGUGCAUUUGAAACUGGCAGGCUGGAGUGCCGGAGAGGUAAGCGGAAUUCCUGGUGUAGCGGUGAAAUGCGUAGAUAUUAGGAGGAACACCGGUGGCGGAGGCGGCUUACUGGACUGUAACUGACGUUGAGGCUCGAAAGCGUGGGGAGCAAACAGGAUUAGAUACCCGGGUAGUC